AAAUAACUGUUUCCCAUGAAUGCAGUGAAUUUAGAAAGCUGUUCUUCUGCCUGAAUAGCAGAAAAAAAGAUACAAAAAAUAUGGAAGAAUCAACCUGCGGUAGUAUCUCAAAAUUACCUGUCUAUAAAAGUACAAUGAUGAAGAUAUAAAAAAAAACUCUAAGAACAAAAACAGUAAUGAAGAUGCAUGGACUCCAGAUUGGUGUGGUUUUAAGAAAGCUAUAGCUUGUGUAAGCUAGAAGCCUUCACUGUGGUUGUGUUUCAGAAGAGGUCUGUGGACUGAGCCUCAUGUCUCUGGCUUCACAGUGGAGGCUGAAGUGCACUCAUCACUGUUGUUAAUAACAAGAGCCUCCAAAAUAUCAAUAUGUGAGCAACACAGUUGUAACACAUUUAGCCAACUUGUAAUGCAAUGUAAACGUUCCAUUAUACAAAAUUUCAAACAUACACAAAAGUGGACAGAACAGUAUUGUGAACCUCCACAUACUCCCCAGCCAUCUUCCACAGUGUUCAAUGUUCAUGGCCCAUCUGGUUCAUGUGUACCUCCCACACCUGUGCAUCCUUUUCAACCCUACACUGAGUUAUUUUGAAGCACAUAAAGAUUGCCAGCAAAAUGUGGAACUAUCAGCAGAAUAUACUGUACAGGUUCUCUAACAUAUUCAACUAUUUAAAUCAUAAUUAAAAGUUUUUAAGUUUUAAGUGAG
rnacentral:lncRNA from 1 species